UCAUUUGUAAAUUACAACUUCAAAUCAAGUUUGUUUAUUGAAAACCCUUCUUUAUACAGACUUUUAGGAUUACUUAGUAGCAUACCCUUAACUGCAAAUAUUCACAAACUCCAUAGAAUUAUAAUUUCUCAUUAAUAGUGAAUACCAUCAUUGAAUCAAAUUAGAAUCCAAGUCUAGAGGCCCUGCAGGACAAUCCAACCAAAUUUAUAUUUAAAAUCUUUACUAAAAAAUACAUAAUUAUGCAUUCAAGUUAAUGUGAAAAUAAUAUGAAUUUUGAUGAUUUGACUAGUGAAGGUAAAUAGAAUAAUCCCUAUUAAGGUGUGUUAGGACUUACUAGUUUCCAAUAAAAGAAAAGGAAAAUUCAUAAAGCAGAGGUCUAAGCCUUAGAAAGACUGGAUAUCUACUUCAGCCCAGCUUAUGAUUAAUUUGCCGCCAAAGGUUAAGGGUUACCCAUGAUUAACAUCAAAUUAGUUCAGCCUAAAUUCCCACUCUCAAGAGAUAAAUCUAGGAAUGUGCUUGCUGGGAUUUGUUUGUCAAAUAAAAUUCCCACUCUGAAUAAAUCAAGGAAUAUGCUCAUUGGAGUUCCUUUAUCAUGAGUAUAAAAAUACUGUUGCAGUUGGAACAACUUUGAAGUAAAG
rnacentral:misc_RNA from 1 species